rnacentral:lncRNA from 1 species
GCGUUGUUAUGAAUCUGUUGUGAAGACUUCAAAAAUUGGUUCAUAACUACUUUCAGGCAUGUUUUCUUUUUCCUGUGGGUCUUGUACUUCGUGGUUGAUUCUGUGAUGAAAAGCGUUGCUCAAAUGCUAUUCAAAAUGUUAUCUUAUGCUGUUGCUUUGUCUCCAAAGAGAUUAACCAGUUAUUGAGAAUUAAGUUACUUGCACUGAUGAGGAAUUCCAUACGAUAAUUCUUCUUUUCAGAGAAAUGUGUGUAUGUGCAUAAGUUACUUUGACUUGAGUCUGGUUUCAGCUGGAGGAGAGGAGGGCUGCCUGUUCUUCUAUGGGUGAAGUUGACGAGCUUGCUAAUGCUGUCAGGGAUGGAAGUCAGAUUUUGCAAUACGCAGCCAUCUGAUGUAUAAAGAAAGGGUAAAGUAUGUUGAACUUGCUUUGAGAGCUUUUAAAAAAUGUGAGAUUGUUUUAAUGUGAAGCCCCUUUCUUAUUCUUGAAUGUUUCAAAGGGAUUCGUUAGUUGAUGCGUUACUAUCUGGAUCUAAAACGGGGAGAAACUGAAGUGAUCAAGGUGGGCAUCAUCCUGACUUGCCUAAAUGUAAAUAUUAUUAAGUUUUUGAUGCAUUGCUCUCUCAACUGGAGUUGCCAAAUACUGCACCUGUGUUAAUAGGCUGGUUUCAGUGGACUCGUCUACAAUUAGAGAAGAUUUUGCCUUGUAGUUGGUGUGCUCUGAGUACUUAGGAGCUGUCACUAGUCAGCACCUGCUUAUUGACUCUGCUCUCUAUCACGUCCCAAAGAGUUUUCAGAUAAUGUUUGUUGGUAUUUUUUGUGCUUCCUCUCAGUAUGUUCAGUUUUUGCAACAUUUCUAGCAAAAGUUAUUUGAUACAACGUUCUGCAGAAGAGUAGUAGAAUUAGAUUGCUUUGUUUGGUGUACCAGCAGGUUGUGUUUUGUUGCAGCUGUUAAGUUUACUGCUCCAGGAAUGCUUCAAAUGCUACUCUUGUCUAGCAGUACGGCUUCUGAGCAAAUUAAACGCAUCUGUUUAACUUCUGUGUUGGCUAUUUAAAAACAGAAGGAAAAAAAAAGAGGUGAGUAGGUGAUCUGUGGAUCUGUAAAUAGGGCGUGCUUCACUUCAACAGACAAUGUUCUUCUUAGAAGAUUGGUGUCAUUAUUUUGUUGUAAACAGUGUUAUGUCCAGUUAUUUACAAUCUCAAAAUGGUUUAUUGUUUCCCUGUCUUUCCACUUGUCAGCUUUCUGCACUAAAUAGAUACAGAAUGUUCAUUAUCAGAUGAUUGAAGCUGUAUUAAAAGAGGAACGUCUGUGCUAUUCCUUGAAUUUCAUUGAAUAUUCUGCCUUUGCAUGUUGUGCUUUGACUUUCUGUUUCCAGUAAAAUCAAGGUAUUAUUCCUGAAGAAGAGUUGUCUCAAGCAAACUGGCCUCUUGUGCCCCCAGAGCUGAAGGAGCGGAAUUGAUAUUAGAUCAGGAUUCUAUUUCAGUAUAACGUUUAUCUACUGUUGCAUAAGGCUCCAGGGAUUGUUGUGAUGAUCACGAUGAUUUGGGUGUAAUGAUAUUUCUACAGUUUUGAGUAAGACAGUGUUUCCACUGGGGAAAACUGUGGAACAUUUCAUCCGGAUGGAGCAAACUCAUGGAAGAAUCAUAAGACAGAUCAGUGUGAAGAAAGUGUUUAUUGGUCUUGUGGGAGAGACGUGCUAGCUAAUCCAGGCAGUUUUUUGUCUUGACUAGGCAAGAACUAAGAAAUGCUGAAACUGAGGAGCAAAAAUGUGAGUCUCUCACAUUUGAUGUGAAGCAGAUGCAUGGAGGAAAGAAACUCCAUCAUUUACUUUUUGGUGCUUGACGUUUAUUUAUAGACAUGCAUACACAGAAACGUAAUUUUCACAUGUUAGCUUCUGCAGAUGAAAUUGCAGAUUAUUGUUGAGCCGAACAACUGGUUGCUGUUUAAAAGGAGAAGAAUGUGUCUUCUGCCAGUGCCUUUUCUAGUGCCCACUGAUCUCUAAGCUGUGCCUAUACAAACUUGUGGGCUUGGUAGUGAAUGAUUCUAAGAAGGGAGUUGGUUAUAUUGCUUUUUCUGAGAUAGGUUUAUAAUUCUUAUUAGGUCCUGCUGUUCAAUGCGUCUUCAUUCUGAAUGGCUAGCUGAGGGAAGCAGUCGUAACCAGAUUCUUUCUGGUGCAGCAGGCUAGGUGCUUGGUUGGUGUUUUCUGUAUGCUGUGAAUUCUGAGAGGAGGCAAGAAUAGGAGGAGCAUUUUACCUGGAAGUCUGUUGUUAAGUCACGUUCUGCUUUCUUUCCUAUUGAUUAGGAGUGGGAACCUUGGACUAGUUGUUUCAUUUGGUCUGGACACUUCUUAGUGUUGAUACUGUUCUUACAUAUUUAAUUAAAAUUAUGAUCCUAGGAUGUUUAUUUGGCUUUUCUUCUGUACUAAUCUUCAAUGACUGGACUCUUCUUCCCUUGAUGAGUCAGUUUUCCCUUGUCUGCAAGACAAUUGCAUCAGGAUAGUUUUGCAUGCCUGGCAGCUAAUUAAAAAAUCUGAGCUUGCAUUUUAGCUCUUCUGACAUGUAAGAAAUUGAUAUCGCUUUUUAAAUUCUCUUGGUCCACAUGUUCAUAAUACAUAAACUUACUAAUUCUUCUGCUUUUUCUUUCUGUGAUACUUUAUUUUUCAACUGAUCCCUUGACUGUUAAAAUAUACUUUCCUGACUUAGGGUGGACUCAACAUACUGAAUGUACAUAGGAUAAUUAUAGUUCCCUAAUGAAAUACUCUUUUAUAGUUAAGUUUCAAAGAUUAAGGACUCAUCAGUCUGGCUGCUUUGAGGGCAACGGAGCCCUUGUGGCUACUGAGUCUAACUUUGUGCACAAGACCAGCUUCCCUAGGACUUCUCUGAAUACUGUUUGUUAACAGUAGAUGAAUAGAAGCAUAUAAUUGGGCCCCCAGUACAGGAAGGACAUGGAGCUCUUGAAGAGGGUCCAGAGGGCCACUAAUGUGAUCAGAGGGCUGGAGCACCUCUCCUAUGAGGAAAGGUUGAGGGAACUGGGAUUGUUUAGCUUGGAGAAGAGAAGGCUCUGGGGAGACUUCAUUGCUGCAUAUAAACAGGAAGGGGAAUGGCUGUUUUCGAAGGUGGAUAGUGAUGGGACAAGGAGGAAUGGUUUUAAACUCAGACAGGGGAAGUUUAGGUUAGAUAUUAUGAGGAAGUUUUUCACACAGAGGGUGGUGACGCACUGGAACAGGUUGCCCAAGGAGGUUGUGGAUGCCCCAUCGCUGGAGACAUUCAAGGCCAGGCUGGAUGUGGCUCUGGGCAGCCUGGUCUGGUGGUUGGCGACCCUGCACGUAGCAGGGGGGUUGAAACUAGAUGGGUAUUGUGGUCCUUUUCAACCCAGGCCGUUCUAUGAAUUAAAAAAAAAAUAAUCAUUUGGUUGUCUUUUAAGAAUCCUUGGUAGUGAGGAAUCCAUUGAAAUCAUUCUCGAAGCCUUACAAUAGUAGAAACCCUUACUGACUGAAAUUAAAGACCUCAUAUCUUUUUGUUUGUAAGUGAUGAAAAUGUUCAAUCUCUAAA